rnacentral:rRNA from 1 species
CAGUCGCCGCGGUAAUACGUAGGUGGCAAGCGUUGUCCGGAAUUAUUGGGCGUAAAGCGCGCGCAGGUGGUUUAAUAAGUCUGAUGUGAAAGCCCACGGCUCAACCGUGGAGGGUCAUUGGAAACUGUUAAACUUGAGUGCAGGAGAGAAAAGUGGAAUUCCUAGUGUAGCGGUGAAAUGCGUAGAGAUUAGGAGGAACACCAGUGGCGAAGGCGGCUUUUUGGCCUGUAACUGACACUGAGGCGCGAAAGCGUGGGGAGCAAACAGGAUUAGAUACCCGAGUAGUCCCUGUCUCUUAUAA